UGCGAUAAGUAAUGUGAAUUGCAGAAUUCAGUGAAUCAUCGAAUCUUUGAACGCACAUUGCGCCCGCCAGUAUUCUGGCGGGCAUGCCUGUUCGAGCGUCAUUACAACCCUCAGGCCCCCGGGCCUGGCGUUGGGGAUCGGCGGAAGCCCCCUGCGGGCACAACGCCGUCCCCCAAAUACAGUGGCGGUCCCGCCGCAGCUUCCAUUGCGUAGUAGCUAACACCUCGCAACUGGAGAGCGGCGCGGCCACGUCGUAAAACACCCAACUUCUGAAUGUUGACCUCGAAUCAGGUAGGAAUACCCGCUGAACUUAAGC
rnacentral:misc_RNA from 1 species